rnacentral:lncRNA from 1 species
AACUGAAUUCUGUGUCUCCUGCUACCAUUAGCAUUUCCCACCUUGUUCUUCAUAGGUGGCGUUGAUCUGCCUUGAUGGACGGGCAGCACCUGGAAGGCAGGGCUGUGCUGAUUGAUGCCGGGGGCCCACUCCUAUUCAUUCGUUCAACUGGUAGAGGAUCUCUCCCUGCUUCAUCCCCUCCCACCAACGCUUCUUGCCCAUGAAGGGGGAGUGCCAGACUCUGCCCAUGUCACCUCCUCCCCCAGGAGAGAAGCCUGUGACAGGUUGUUGGGGAGCUCCUUCAUUCAUUUAUUCAUCCUUUCCUCAAAUGUUAUGGAGCAAGGCCACAGCUGGGAGUACCACUCCCUGAAGGAAGAAGAUGUUAAGUAAGUGGGAAAUUCUAACCUAAGAGGGUCUGUGCUCUGGUCAGAGAACAGUGAUCUGGGAAUAUAGAGGGGCUCCUAAUCCUGACAUGAGCUUCCCAGGAGAUACACGGUCUAGGCUAACAAAGGAAGAAUGGGUAGAAGACAGCCAGGUAAGUAAACAGCGGUGUUCAGGAAGAGAGAAAUAACUGAGGCCAAGUCCCAGGGAGGAGCGUGCAACACUUCAAAAGCUCUGAAGCUUCCCAGUGUGCAUGGAGCUCAGCAGGGUGAGGUGGGAAACUGUAGGAAAGGAGAUUGAGGGGAAGGGAGCAGGCACCAAGAGCCUGUAAGCCAUAAUAAAGGCUUUGACCCUUCCCUUGAGGGCACUAGAGAGCCAUUGAAGGUUCUUAAAUAACUGAGCGACUUGAUCAAAUUUGAAUUUUUUUUUUUUUUUUUUUUUUUUUUGAGAUGGAGUUUCACUCUUGUUGCCCAGACUAGAGUACAAUGGCGUAAUCUUGGCUCACCACAACCUCUGCCUCCCGGGUUCAAGCGAUUCUCCUACCUCAGCCUCCCAAGCAGCAGG